UACGUAGGAUGCAAGCGUUGUUCGGAAUUACUGGGCGUAAAGAGUACGUAGGCGGUUUGGUAAGUCUGAUAUUAAAGACCGGAGCUCAACUUCGGGACUGUAUCGGAAACUGUCAGACUAGAGGACAAUAGAGGAAGUCGGAAUUCUCAGUGUAGCGGUGAAAUGCGUAGAUAUUGGGAAGAACAUCAGUGGCGAAAGCGGACUUCUGGGUUGUUACUGACGCUGAGGUACGAAAGCGUGGGGAGCAAACGGG
rnacentral:rRNA from 1 species